GGAUGUAGCUUAGUCCGGUUAAAGUGCUGGUCUGGGGGACCAGAGAUCGUGGGUUCGAAUCCCGCCAUCC
rnacentral:tRNA from 1 species